rnacentral:misc_RNA from 1 species
UUCCGAUCAAAUUGUCCUCAUCGAAAUCACAGACUUCAUCUGCAUCAAAUUCCACAGGGUGGAAACUCUCAAGCUUCCAUUUUGCAUUUGUUCCCUUGGCUUGCUCCAGUUUUUCUUCAUCGUCUAUGUCAUGACUAUGCUUAUAGUUUAGGUAACUGACGAGCAAUAAGCCACCCAUUAGAACCGCUAAGGAAAGCAACACAAUGCAAGAUACCACUAGUUUGUUUAACUUAUGUUUAGCAGCCUUUCCACCACAACUGUCCAAG